rnacentral:rRNA from 1 species
AUGAACGCUGGCGGCGUGCCUAAUACAUGCACGUCGAGCGAACAGAUGAGGAGCUUGCUCCUCUGACGUUAGCGGCGGACGGGUGAGUAACACGUGGAUAACCUACCUAUAAGACUGGGAUAACUUCGGGAAACCGGAGCUAAUACCGGAUAAUAUAUUGAACCGCAUGGUUCAAUAGUGAAAGACGGUUUUGCUGUCACUUAUAGAUGGAUCCGCGCCGCAUUAGCUAGUUGGUAAGGUAACGGCUUACCAAGGCGACGAUGCGUAGCCGACCUGAGAGGGUGGUAGGCCACACUGGAACUGAGACACGGUCCAGACUCCUACGGGAGGCAGCAGUAGGGAAUCUUCCGCAAUGGGCGAAAGCCUGACGGAGCAACGCCGCGUGAGUGAUGAAGGUCUUCGGAUCGUAAAACUCUGUUAUUAGGGAAGAACAAAUGUGUAAGUAACUAUGCACGUCUUGACGGUACCUAAUCAGAAAGCCACGGCUAACUACGUG